AACGAACGCUGGCGGCAGGCCUAACACAUGCAAGUCGAGCGCACCUUCGGGUGAGCGGCGGACGGGUGAGUAACGCGUGGGAAUAUGCCUCUUGGUAAGGAAUAGCCUCUGGAAACGGAGAGUAAUACCUUAUGUGCCCUACGGGGGAAAGAUUUAUCGCCAAGAGAUUAGCCCGCGUUAGAUUAGGUAGUUGGUGGGGUAAUGGCCUACCAAGCCUACGAUCUAUAGCUGGUUUGAGAGGAUGAUCAGCCACACUGGGACUGAGACACGGCCCAGACUCCUACGGGAGGCAGCAGUGGGGAAUCUUAGACAAUGGGGGAAACCCUGAUCUAGCCAUGCCGCGUGAGUGACGAAGGCCCUAGGGUCGUAAAGCUCUUUCGCCAGGGAUGAUAAUGACAGUACCUGGUAAAGAAACCCCGGCUAACUCCG
rnacentral:rRNA from 1 species